rnacentral:rRNA from 1 species
UACGGAGGAUCCCAAGCGUUAUCCGGAUUCAUUGGGUUUAAAGGGUGCGUAGGCGGAACGAUAAGUCAGUGGUGAAAGCCCUCAGCUUAACUGAGGAACUGCCAUUGAUACUGUCGAUCUUGAGUACAUUUGUAUGUGGGCGGAAUGUGUCAUGUAGCGGUGAAAUGCUUAGAUAUGACACAGAACACCGAUUGCGAAGGCAGCUCACAAAGCUGUAACUGACGCUGAGGCACGAAAGCGUGGGUAUCAAACAGGAUUAGAACCGUACGGUC